GUGACACAUGUUCAACGGCCGCGGUAUCCUAACCGUGCGAAGGUAGCGUAAUCACUUGUUCUUUAAAUGAGGACUAGUAUGAACGGCACCACGAAGGUUAUACUGUCUCCUUUCUCUAAUCAGUAAAACUAAUCUCCCCGUGAAGAAGCGAGGAUAAAUUUAUAAGACGAGAAGACCCUAUGGAGCUUUAAACUAACCAGCAUUUGCUAUAUACAAAAUUUUUAACAACUUUAAAGAUAAUCUAGCCCUCUGACUGGUAAUUUUCGAUUGGGGUGAUCACGGAACAAAAAUAACCUCCGUGUCGAAAGGGCUCACCUGAGCAAAAAGCGACAGCUUUCCGCACUAAAAAAUUAACGUUUAUUGACCCA
rnacentral:rRNA from 1 species